rnacentral:rRNA from 1 species
AUUGAACGCUGGCGGCAUGCCUAACACAUGCAAGUCGAACGGUAACAGGCCCUUCGGGGCGCUGACGAGUGGCGGACGGGUGAGUAAUACGUAGGAAUCUGCCCGGUAGUGGGGGACAACCUGGGGAAACUCAGGCUAAUACCGCAUACGCUCUGCGGAGGAAAGCGGGGGACCUGAGAGGGCCUCGCGCUAUCGGAUGAGCCUACGUCGGAUUAGCUAGUUGGUGAGGUAACGGCUCACCAAGGCGACGAUCCGUAGCUGGUCUGAGAGGAUGAUCAGCCACACUGGGACUGAGACACGGCCCAGACUCCUACGGGAGGCAGCAGUGGGGAAUAUUGGACAAUGGGGGCAACCCUGAUCCAGCAAUGCCGCGUGGGUGAAGAAGGCCUGCGGGUUGUAAAGCCCUUUCGGGGGGGAGGAAAGUUGGGGUACGAACAAUGCCCCGAGGUGACGUUACCCCCAGAAGAAGCACCGGCUAACUCCGUGCCAGCAGCCGCGGUAAUACGGAGGGUGCGAGCGUUAAUCGGAAUUACUGGGCGUAAAGCGCGCGUAGGCGGCGAGGUCAGUCAGAUGUGAAAGCCCCGGGCUCAACCUGGGAAUGGCAUUUGAUACUGCCUGGC